UGUUUGAUGUUCUAACGUUGGCCCCUGAUCGGGGUUGCGGACAGUGUCUGGUGGGUAGUUUGACUGGGGCGGUCUCCUCCUAAAGAGUAACGGAGGAGCACGAAGGUUGGCUAAUCCUGGUCGGACAUCAGGAGGUUAGUGCAAUGGCAUAAGCCAGCUUGACUGCGAGCGUGACGGCGCGAGCAGGUGCGAAAGCAGGUCAUAGUGAUCCGGUGGUUCUGAAUGGAAGGGCCAUCGCUCAACGGAUAAAAGGUACUCCGGGGAUAACAGGCUGAUACCGCCCAAGAGUUCAUAUCGACGGCGGUGUUUGGCACCUCGAUGUCGGCUCAUCACAUCCUGGGGCUGAAGUAGGUCCCAAGGGUAUGGCUGUUCGCCAUUUAAAGUGGUACGCGAGCUGGGUUUAGAACGUCGUGAGACAGUUCGGUCCCUAUCUGCCGUGGGCGCUGGAGAACUGAGGGGGGCUGCUCCUAGUACGAGAGGACCGGAGUGGACGCAUCACUGGUGUUCGGGUUGUCAUGCCAAUGGCACUGCCCGGUAGCUAAAUGCGGAAGAGAUAAGUGCUGAAAGCAUCUAAGCACGAAACUUGCCCCGAGAUGAGUUCUCCCUGAGACUUUAAGU
rnacentral:rRNA from 1 species